UACGAAGGGGGCAAGCGUUGUUCGGAAUUAUUGGGCGUAAAGGGAGCGUAGGCGGUUCGGCAAGUCUUUAGUGAAAUCUCUGGGCUCAACUCAGAGUCUGCUGGAGAAACUGCCGGGCUGGAGUAUGGGAGAGGUGAGUGGAAUUCCCGGUGUAGCAGUGAAAUGCGUAGAGAUCGUAAGGAAGACCAGUGGCGAAGGCGGGUCUCUGGACAGUUCCUGACACUGAGGCACGAAGGCCAGGGGAGCAAACGGG
rnacentral:rRNA from 1 species